AAACAAUUGCUGAUCCUCAUCGGAUCAGAAAGGUAAUUUCUCCGUUCAAUCCUUAAACCAUACUUGAAGAUGAAAUCAUAGAUACUCUGUGUAAAAGAGGGUCUAAUCUUUUUGAAGAAUAAAGAACCUGCCCCACUUUUGCAAAGGGUAUCUAUGAUCUGAAAUCAUUCGAAAAUUGUUCCAAAAUGAGGCUUUGAAACAUAUCUUGAAUCACUAGAAAAGCAGCCUCUUUCUACAACUCUACACCGAGUGAAAACUAAGGUUCGGAAGAGUCAGAAGAAAAGAAUGCCACCCGAGUCAAUAUUAGUACUCUGUCCCUCAUGCCCCUCCUCUUACACAUGUUUCUUACAAUUUGCCAAAUUUUCCUUUGCCAUCUCUCAGAAGAGCAGCAUACAACAGCUCAUUCCAUGUAUCAGGUACACCUGGUAAGCACCAAUGACUGCAAUCCUGAGGAGCUUUAUUUCUCUC